rnacentral:rRNA from 1 species
GAUGAACGCUGGCGGCGUGCCUAAUACAUGCAAGUCGAGCGCGUUUCGAAGGUGCUUGCACCUUCAAUGAAACGAGCGGCGGACGGGUGAGUAACACGUAGGUAACCUACCUUUAUGACUGGGAUAACCACGGGAAACCGGGGCUAAUACCGGAUAAGAUUUAGCUUCGCAUGAAGCAGAAGUAAAAGGCAGUUUCGGCUGUCACAUAAAGAUGGACCUGCGGCGCAUUAGCUAGUUGGAGAGGUAAGAGCUCCCCAAGGCGACGAUGCGUAGCCGACCUGAGAGGGUGAUCGGCCACACUGGGACUGAGACACGGCCCAGACUCCUACGGGAGGCAGCAGUAGGGAAUCUUCCGCAAUGGACGAAAGUCUGACGGAGCAACGCCGCGUGAGUGAAGAAGGUUUUCGGAUCGUAAAGCUCUGUUGUUAAGGAAGAACACCAUGGAUAGGAAAUGAUCGAUGGAUGACGGUACU